AUUGCUUCUCAGUCUUUUGGCUAAGAUCAAGUGUAGUCUCUGUUCUUAUCAGCUUAUAUCUGAUAUGGACAUUAAAUGGAUUUUUGGAAAUAGGAGAUGGAAUAGGAGCUUGCUGUCUUCUCCAUGCAUCAAACUGGUGUUACAGUAUCUCCAGGAACGGUGUGCCAAAA
rnacentral:snRNA from 1 species